rnacentral:rRNA from 1 species
AUUGAACGCUGGCGGCAGGCUUAACACAUGCAAGUCGAGCGGGGUGAUGGUGCUUGCACUAUCACUUAGCGGCGGACGGGUGAGUAAUGCUUAGGAAUCUGCCUAUUAGUGGGGGACAACAUCUCGAAAGGGAUGCUAAUACCGCAUACGUCCUACGGGAGAAAGCAGGGGAUCACUUGUGACCUUGCGCUAAUAGAUGAGCCUAAGUCGGAUUAGCUAGUUGGUGGGGUAAAGGCCUACCAAGGCGACGAUCUGUAGCGGGUCUGAGAGGAGGAUCCGCCACACUGGGACUGAGACACGGCCCAGACUCCUACGGGAGGCAGCAGUGGGGAAUAUUGGACAAUUGGGGGAACCCUGAUCCAGCCAUGCCGCGUGUGUGAAGAAGGCCUUAUGGUUGUAAAGCACUUUAAGCGAGGAGGAGGCUCUUUUGGUUAAUACCCAAGAUGAGUGGACGUUACUCGCAGAAUAAGCACCGGCUAACUCUGUGCCAGCAGCCGCCGUAA